UACGUAGGUGACAAGCGUUGUCCGGAUUUACUGGGCGUAAAGAGCGCGCAGGCGGUCGAUCAAGUCGAGUGUGAAAGCCCCCGGCUCAACUGGGGAGGGUCAUUCGAUACUGAUCGACUCGAAGGCAGGAGAGGGUAGUGGAAUUCCCGGUGUAGUGGUGAAAUGCGUAGAUAUCGGGAGGAACACCUGUGGCGAAGGCGGCCCCCUGGGCCGGCCCUGACACUGAGACGCGAAGGCGUGGGGAGCGAACGGG
rnacentral:rRNA from 1 species